rnacentral:rRNA from 1 species
UACGUAGGGUGCGAGCGUUGUCCGGAAUUAUUGGGCGUAAAGGGCUCGUAGGCGGUUUGUCGCGUCGGGAGUGAAAACCUUGGGCUUAACUCAGGGCUUGCUUUCGAUACGGGCAGACUAGAGGUAUGCAGGGGAGAACGGAAUUCCUGGUGUAGCGGUGGAAUGCGCAGAUAUCAGGAAGAACACCAACGGCGAAGGCAGCUCGCUGGGACGGUACUGACGCUGAGACGCGAAAGCGUGGGGAGCGAACAGG